UAAGAAUUUAUCCGGCACAAAAAUCGCAGCGGAAAAUAAAAUUGUAUUUUCGAAAACCAAAAAUCCAUAUCACAUAUGAACCAAAAUAAAACAAAUCAAUCCAGUGCCGGUGGAUCAUUCUCAUGUUGCAAUGUAAAAUAAAAUCUAACCUAAACAGAUUUAAAGUUCAUGUUACAUUACCUCGGACCAGUUAAGGUCUCUUGAUCUACUGUACGGUUGAAAUUGAGAUUCCGAUUAGCCGCGCACGUGCCCGGCCUCUACGUGUAUCCACACGGAAUUGAUCUAGAUCCAACGCCUUCCGUCGCACGGAACUGAUGAGCCGCAGAUUACCAAGACGGUGCUAGCAGUCUUGUAAUAUCCACGUUCCCUCUUGUGAGAUGUACUGAUUUUUAGAAGAUCUAAUAGAGACGGAUUAUAUUAUUUUUCUUUCUUCUUCUGAGCUUAUAAAAAAUUAUCCUCGCUUGUAUAGAUAUGUAUAUAUAUAUCUAUAUAUGUUAAUUAACUCCAUCCAUCAAGCAUAAUGUAUACGUGGGCAACAACUUAACUAAUUAAGCCGCAGCUCACGUACACCAUCUCAGCGUACAAAUUGGCACCCUCGCAAUCUGUUGCAACCAAUUAGAUCAUAUCCAAUUAGUUGCUAUACUAAUUUGAUCACAUCCAAUUAGUUGCUGCAUAGGAUAAUUAAACAGUAAAUUUAUGUUUAUCCAUAUGGAUAUUUUAUCUUUAUCCUUCUCUUUAAAUUAGAUCUUAUCCAUUAUAAUUAAAUAUUCAUACUUAAGUCUAAUCUCAUUAGAAUAUUAUUAUCUCAUAAUAAUUUGUGAAUAUUUAAUUAUUCUCUAAUCUAAUUAGAGAUUAAAUCUAUCGUAACAUUCAAAUUAUAAUUCUCACUAUUUUCACUAAACUAUUUAGUGUAUUAAUUAGACUCAUCUUAUCAAAUUGGAUGCACACAAUUCCCAUUGUGUGUGACCGCGUAGGUCCAUUAUCAUUCGGCAGUGGAAUUCAAUAUUAAACUCUUUAAUAUUGAAUUAGAACUCUUCUAAUCUAUGAAAUAAUUUAUUUUAAAUUAUUUCAGCUUCUCACUGUCCGUGAGUGACACCUAGCAGUAUAUCACGGUAAUCCAGAAUGAUGAUGAAAAAUGAACCUUUCCGCUAUCAGUUAUCGUGUGAUUAAUUCCUUCCAACACAACGUUCCGAUCGAACUAAAAUUAUGAUUACUCGCCAAAUCUUAUUAUUCGAUCAUAUGACUAGAAUAUCUAAAACUGACUCAAUAUGGUAACACAGCUGGAAACUCUUUCCACACACCACGUACCCUGGCCAAGGAUUUUUCGAGUCAAGUUCGACAGUCUACAUAGGACGUUCUCUCUCACUAUUGAGAGUGUUGAAUUCCUUAUUGCGCAUUCAUAUGCCUCCCUAUAUAAACUACUACAGCCAAUCAGUACCAGACAUAGACCAAUGAUUAGAGUCUAAGUAUUAGUACAGUUAAACAGUAGCAAUCUACAUGUGAAGCAACCAUGAUGCCUCAGGUCUAAGGAGUACUUCACACAACUGUAGCAAAGAACUAGUCACUGGCGAAUUCGGAACCAUGUGACUGUUCAACUAAAUGGUCACGCUCAGUGUACUUGUUCUCUAACAAGCACCUGCAUGCUUACUUUAGUGUCCCUACACUAAUGACUUGAGCUUCGUCACCUCAACUUAGAAGUAUAGCAUACACCGGCCUAUCCGGAAAUAUCAUCGUCCUUAUGAUAUUCCUAUGGCUAGGAGCAUUUAAGAAUCUUGUACAAAGAAAUAUAUAUCUCAAAUUCCUAACUCUUAGGAAUAUAUUUUCUUAACAAAGAUUCAAUGGACGAUUCAUAUAAAUGUAUUGUACUGCUAACAAUAAAUAUGAAUAAAGCUUGCCCUUUAUUAAUUAAGAAAAAUACUUAAUAUGUUCACUAGCCUGUGUCACCGAUUGGCUUUAGGGUAUAUCACUAACAAUCUCCCACUUACACUAAUGCAAAUCGCUCAUGUAUCUCAUACCCAUUCUUUCUAAAUGCACAUCCAGCUUUUGAAGUGUGAGCGGCUUAGUAAGGGGAUCCGCUAUAUUGUCUACGGAUGCUACUUUCUGCACAACAAUCUGACGCUCAUCUAUAAAUUGUCGGAUGAUGUGGUAGCGUCGAUCUAUAUGCUUGGACUUCUGGUGAGACCUCGGUUCUUUAGCUUGCGCUAUAGCUCCAUUAUUGUCACAGUAAAGUGGCAUUGGCUCCUCAAUAGAAGGCACCACUCCUAGUUCCGUGACGAAUUUUCGAAGCCAAACUGCCUCCUUUGAUGCCUCAGAUGCUGCAAUGUACUCUGCCUCAGUAGUGGAAUCUGCUGUUGUAUUCUGUUUGGAACUCUUCCAAAUGAUAGCCCCACCAUUCAAUAUGAAGACAUGCCCUGAUGUUGACUUUCUAUCAUCAACAUCUGACAUGAAGUCUGAAUCUGUGAAGCCUUCUAACGUUAGCUCAUUUCCACCAUACACUAGACACAAAUCCUUAGUUCUUCUCAAGUACUUAAAGAUAUUCUUCACAGCAGUCCAGUGCUCUUCACCUGGAUUAGACUGAUAUCUGCUCGUAACACUUACGGCAUGUGCGAUAUCUGGUCUUGUACAUAGCAUAGCGUACAUGAGACUUCCUAUUGCGGAAGCAUAGGGAAUUCUGCUCAUACGCUCUCUUUCCUCAGGUGUUUUAGGACACAUCAUCUUGGAAAGAUUAAUUCCAUGUCUAAGAGGAAGAAGACCCCUUUUGGAAUUUUCCAUGUUGAACCUCUUCAACACAUCUUCUAUGUACAUCUGCUGUGACAAACCGAUCAACCUCUUAGAUCUAUCUCUAUAGACCUUAAUGCCGAGGAUAUAGGCUGCCUCUCCUAGAUCUUUCAUCAAGAAAUUCUGGGACAACCAAACCUUGACAGAGGUCAUCAAACUUGCAUCAUUUCCGAUCAAUAGAAUGUCGUCCACGUACAAUACGAGAAAGACAAGUUGGCUCCCACUGGUCUUCUUGUAAACACAAGGUUCAUCUUGAUUUCUCAUGAAGCCAAACGUUUUGACUGCAUCAUUGAACCGUAUGUUCCAACUCCUCGAAGCCUGCUUCAAUCCAUAAAUGGAUCUCUGAAGCUUGCAUACUUUAUGUUUCUGGCUAUUGGACACAAAUCCCUCAGGCUGCUGCAUAUAUAUGUCCUCCUCUAUGAAUCCAUUGAGGAAAGCAGUUUUUACGUCCAUUUGCCAGAUCUCAUAAUCAUAGUAUGCGGCUAUGGCAAGUAAUGUUCGCAUGGAUUUAAGCAUGACCACAGGAGAGAACGUUUCUUUAUAGUCGAGACCUUCUCGUUGACUGUAGCCUUUUGCUACAAGUCUCGCCUUGUAUGUCUCUACUUUUCCAUCCACACCAAUCUUUUUCUUGAAAAUCCAUUUACAACCAAUAGGUACUAUACCUUCUGGCGGAUCAACAAGAGUCCAUACGUGAUUGGUAUACAUUGAGUCCAUUUCGGACUUCAUAGCUUCUUGCCAUUUUAUUGAGUCGAUGUCUAACAUCGCCUCUUCGUAACUAGUAGGAUCAUCCCUGCGAUCACUAUCGCCAAUGAGGAACAUUUCCUUUGUGCAUUCCAUAACGAAAUCUCGAUAUUUCUCUGGAGGUUGGGAUAUUCUACCAGAUCUUCGAGGUAAUUGUGUAAUAGUGGGUUCAGUUUGAAUAGCUUGUUCAAAUUGUUCUUGAGAAAUUGUUUGCUCAUUUGAGACCAUCUCUUUUAGCACUAUCUCGUUUCCGGCACCACCUUCUUGGAUAAACUCUUUUUCCAAAAAUAUUGCAUGUCGGCUAACAAUCACGUUUUGUUCACUUUGAAGAUAAAAAUAGUAUCCCAUAGACUCCUUGGGAUAACCAAUAAAUCUUCCUUUAUCCGACCUAGCCUCCAAUUUAUCUGUUUUAAGUUUUUUAACAAAAGCCGGGCAUCCCCAAAUCCUUAAAUGAUUGAGACCCAGUUUUUUGCCAAACCACAUCUCAUGCGGGGUACAAGGAACAGAUUUUGAAGGCACCCUGUUUAGAAUAUAGGCUGCGGUUAAUAGAGCAUAACCCCAAAGAAAUAAAGGUAAGUCUGUGAAGCUCAUCAUCGAUCGUACCAUAUCUAAUAAAGUACGAUUUCUUCUUUCUGAAACUCCAUUCAAUUCCGGAGUUCCAGGAGGUGUCUAUUGUGAGAGAAUACCGUUUUCUCUGAGAUAAUUUAAAAAUUCAGUACUAAGGUAUUCGCCUCCUCGAUCUGAUCGAAGAGCCUUAAUACUUUUUCCUGUUUGCUUCUCUACUUCAUGUCUGAAUUCUUUGAACUUUUCAAAGGUUUCAGACUUGUGUUUCAUAAGAAACACAAACCCAUACCGUGAAUAAUCAUCGGUAAAAGUCACAAAGUAAAGAUAACCACCCCGAGCCGUUUCACUAAACGGUCCACACUCAUCCGAGUGUAUAAGGGCAAGUAACUCUGUGGCUCGCUCUCUUUGUCCAACAAAGGGUGACUUGGCCAUUUUGCCUUGAAGACAAGACUCACAAACUGGAUAGGAUUCUAAAACACAAGUUCGCAAGUGCCCAUCCUUGGCCAGUCGGUUUAUCCUAUCUUCUUCAAUGUGACCUAGUCGUAGGUGCCAUAGAUACUUUUGGUUCAGACUAUUAUCUCUAGGUCUCUUCUCUUUAUGUUCAAUAUUAGCAACAUUUCCAUCCAGAUUUAGAAAGUAGAGAUUGUUAACUAAACUACCAGUAGCUAUCAAUUUAUUUUGGAAAUAAAUAAAACAACCAUUAGUUUCAAAAAUAAAACGAUAACCAGUUCGUACUAAAGUUGUAACCGAAAUCAAAUUCCUAACAACUAAAGAAGAAUAAUAACAAUUCUCUAAUUCUAAAAUAUGUCCAGAUGGAAGUCUCAAAGAACAGCUCCCUACGGCUAACACAGCAACACUUGCUCCAUUUCCCACACGCAGGGUCACCUCGCCGUCCUUCAGUGUUCUACUUCCCUUUAGAUCCUGCAAUGAAUUACAAAGAUGUAAGGUGCAUGCAGAAUCUAAUACCCAAGAAGAAGUAGAGCCAAUCAUAUUGGCCUCAACGAUGAGCAUUUCGUUCGUACCUUCAGAAGGCCCCUCCUUCAAUUUUUCUUUUAGGCUAGAAAGAUAUUCUUUACAAUUUCUCUUCCAAUGCCCAUCCUUACCGCAAUGGAAACAUUUUCCUUUAGCCUUGCCAUUGUCGGAUUUCUUGAAAUUUGCUUUCUUCACUCCACCCGAUGACUUGAACUUAGGAAACUUUUUCUUUCCUUUGAACUUUCCUUUUGAAGCUCUUUCAACCGCCAUCGCCAUCCCGUUUGUCUUCAAUGUGCCUUCCGCUGUGAUUAGCAUAUUCAUAAGCUCGGACAAAGUGGCAUGAAUCCUAUUCAUGUUGAAGUUCAUAACAAAAUGAGAGAACGAUUCUGGCAAAGACUGUAGAACUAGAUCGAUCUGCAAGUCCGCGUCCAAGUUCAAGCCGAGAUUUUUCAGCUGCUCCAUGUCGUCAAUCAUUUUGAGACAAUGUUCACUGACCGACGUGCCUGGAGUCAUCUGAGCUUUAAACAAUCGCUUUGAUAUCUCAUAUCUUGCGGUUCGGCUUUGUGCACCAUACAACUCUUGUAAGUGCGCAAGCAUCUCAUAUGCUCGAGUAUAGUUCUCAUGCUGCCGUUGCAGCUCAUUCGACAUAGAGGCCAGCAUGUAAUAUUUAACACGCUGGUCAUCAUCAACCCACAUGUCUCUCUCCUCAACUUCUUCAGUUGUGGCUUCAGCGGUAAGCUCGGGAAUUGGAGCUUGAAGAACAUAAUCAAGCUUUUCAAUACCUAAAACAAUUUUUAGGUUACGAAGCCAGUCUUGGAAAUUAGGGCCGGUUAAUCGGUUAGAUUCCAUUAUGCGAGAAAGAGGGUUAGAGGCAUUCAUUUUGUCUGCAGAAAGUAGAGAUUUUAGUUAGAUAAGUAAUUUUUUCUUUUUAACCAAUUAAACCAGGGUCUAUUAGUUUAAAAGGUUCCUCCCACUAAUUUUAUCGAAUUUCUACACUCCCUAAGUAGAAAGACGGAAAUCCUCAUCCGUUAGAUUUCUUAGUGGCGAUUGGGGUUUCAUAAAUUACGACUCACCUCACCGGACAGUUUCUUGGAAAACCGUAAUUUAAUGAACGGGUAACAUCUUACCUCGACACAUCUUAUGUGCAAUCCAAUCGUCCUUUGGCCUCUAAGAUUUUUACGCCUCACCGGACGGUUUCUUGGCGCAACAACCUCAGUUAAGUCUAAUCCUCCUCUCCUACAAAUAUGGAAUUAUCAAAAGACCCUCACCGGACGGUUUCUUGGAUCCAUUGAUAAUGCCAUAUUGUAGCAUCUUAUGUCAAGAUGUUCGCAUAGUUCAAACACAAGUAGCCCCAUGGGACCAUGCGUGACUACUCAAUGCUGAAACAAUGCUACAUCUUGUGAUCGGUGGAAGGCCACGAUAGAGCAUCAAAUGCCCCUUCGUUUCAACUUAAUAUUUUAUAGAGAGUUUUAAAAUUAUAUAUCGGUCUCAUCAUCACAUGUUAUAUCUCAUAUAAAAUUAAUCACAUGUAUCACAUACACAAAAAUAAAUUGCAUAGUUUAGGGAUGAUCAUGGACUUUUCUGAUUCGACUCGAGCCGAUGAGUCAAAUCGGUCUAUAGGGUGAUACACACAUAUUCUCAACAAUUGCAAAUAUUAAGCCCUCUUCUUCUGUUGGAUUUGAUACAUCCUUUGAUGCCAUCACGAUUUGCGACGCCAAUCCAUCAACGCUUGAUGUGGAUUCUUCUCCAAAUAAUCCUAAUUUUAUCUAAUAAAAAUACAAGGAUUCGUAGAUCCCAAUAAAAUGGCACGCAGGCCCUUCGUGAUAAAAAAAUAUAUACAACCAUAAUUAAAUUACAAAUACACCCAUAAUCAAAUUACAAAUACAUCCAUAAUCACAUUACAAAUACAUCCAUAAUCACAUCACAGAAGUCUAAGGUCCAUGAUCAUCACCCAUCUAAAAACUAUGCAGAAAAUAAUAACCAAAUCGAUCUAAUCAUCGAUUAAAAAAUUAGAACUCAAUAAUAUGUUUUUCUCAUGUCUCCACGUAUUUAUUUUAUGGUGUGAAACCAAUAAAUCACACUACGUGCAACUUAAGAAAAACAAUAUCGAUCUCAUCGAAAACAGUUCCAAAAUUUCAAUCAAACCAUACAGAUCGUAAAUAUUUUACAUAGAACAUGAGAAUCGGCUCUGAUACCACUGUAAGAAUUUAUCCGGCACAAAAAAUCGCAGCGGAAAAUAAAAUUGUAUUUUCGAAAAACAAAAAUCCAUAUCACAUAUGAACCAAAAUAAAACAAAUCAAUCCAGUGCCGGUGGAUCAUUCUCAUGUUGCAAUGUAAAAUAAAAUCUAACCUAAACAGAUUUAAAGUUCAUGUUACAUUACCUCGGACCAGUUAAGGUCUCUUGAUCUACUGUACGGUUGAAAUUGAGAUUCCGAUUAGCCGCGCACGUGCCCGGCCUCUACGUGUAUCCACACGGAAUUGAUCUAGAUCCAACGCCUUCCGUCGCACGGAACUGAUGAGCCGCAGAUUACCAAGACGGUGCUAGCAGUCUUGUAAUAUCCACGUUCCCUCUUGUGAGAUGUACUGAUUUUCAGAAGAUCUAAUAGAGACGGAUAAUUAUAUUAUUUUUCUUUCUUCUUCUGA
rnacentral:lncRNA from 1 species